CUUUUUUUUUUUUUUUUUUUUUUUUUUUAACAAUUCAGAAGGGAUAAUCCUACUGAAUAGGGAGAGGCACUCGGAACCUGUCCCCGGCCCUCCGAAGAGGCUCGGCCCGCUCCCUGGCGCCCCGGGCUGGCCUGGGUGUCGGGACGCGGCUGUCCUCCGGAUCGGGCUCUGGCCGGGCACCCUCGUGCCGAGGGCAGCACCCGCUCCCGCAGGCCUGGGCCCGCGCUCCGGCUGCUAGCGGGCGUUUAGUGGCCUUGUGCUUCGCAGGUCAUCUUGCCACCUUUCUAAGCUGCGUUUCCUCGGUGGCAGCGUAAAAGGCAGACAUUGUGGGUGGGCACUCGAAGUGCUGUCCUAGCUGGACCGCCCCCACCCCACCUCAGUUUCCUCACCUGUGAGAGGAGGGAGUUGGUCUAGCAGAGUGCCGGGACAUCAGGUGGCCUCUCCCGGGUCAGAGGGCUUGGGGUAACCUGGCCCUGAGCUGGCCGGCAGCCCCGCUGUGCAGAUGCUUCCUUCCUUCCCAGGAUACCCAGCUGAUCGCACCCAGGGUAGGGAGGGGGGCAAUGACCAAAAGGGCUGAGAGGCCUAAGGAAAUAAGCAAGGACUGGAGGGGAGUGUGUGCAGUUUUUAAAUGGACAUCUGCAGAAGAUAAAGAGCAGAGACCGAAGGAAGAAGAAAUUGUCACUACAGAGGGCAAGCCUUCAAUGUAGUUGAAAUGGGACAUGGUCUCACUGAGUAACUCAGGCCAAGCUUGAACU